AUACGGAGGAUCCGAGCGUUAUCCGGAUUUAUUGGGUUUAAAGGGUGCGUAGGCGGCCUGUUAAGUCAGGGGUGAAAUUUUUCGGCUCAACCGGAAGCUUGCCUUUGAUACUGAUGGGCUUGAUUAUACUUGAGGUAGGCGGAAUGUGACAAGUAGCGGUGAAAUGCAUAGAUAUGUCACAGAACACCGAUUGCGAAGGCAGCUUACUAAGGUAUGAAUGACGCUGAGGCACGAAAGCGUGGGGAUC
rnacentral:rRNA from 1 species